AACGAACGCUGGCGGCAUGCCUAACACAUGCAAGUCGAACGAAGGCUUCGGCCUUAGUGGCGCACGGGUGCGUAACGCGUGGGAAUCUGCCCUUUGGUUCGGAAUAACAGCUGGAAACGGCUGCUAAUACCGGAUGAUGACGAAAGUCCAAAGAUUUAUCGCCAGAGGAUGAGCCCGCGUUGGAUUAGGUAGUUGGUGGGGUAAAGGCCUACCACGCCGACGAUCCAUAGCUGGUCUGAGAGAAUGAUCAGCCACACUGGGACUGGGACGCGGCCCAGACUCCUACGGGAGGCAGCAGAGGGGAAUAUAGGACAAUGGGCGCAAGGCUGAUGCAGCAAUGCCGGGUGAGUGAUGUAGGCCCUAGGGUUGUAAAGCUCUUUUACCCGGGAAGAUAAUGACUGUACCGGGAGAAUAAGCCCCGGCUAACUCCGUG
rnacentral:rRNA from 1 species